rnacentral:rRNA from 1 species
AUGUUGAUCAAACGGAGCAUCUUCGCUUCCUGCCACCUUGACGCUUUUCGCCCGUUCAUCAUAGUGCUGUUGGCGGCUGCGUACAUGUAUGUGCCAGCUACUGCUAUUGUUGCUGUUCCAAGUUCUCAUUGUUAUACCUUCGACAGUGAUAGCCACCUUGUUGACUUCACACACCUGGCUGGGAAGAAUUUUGAAUACAAUGAGGAGGGCUCAGUAACUUCUGACUUGGUUGUCCAGUUGUGCAAAGAUGUGCAGAGAAGGUCUCAGGCGGGUGGUUUCAUUGACUUUGGCCGCUUUACCAAUCAUCGCUCUUUUGAGACCGGUUCAAAGCCGAUUGACUACAUCCAGAGAUUUCACAAUGGUGAUUUAGCGAAAUGUGAAACUACGUUUGAAGAGAUGGGCCGUACUGCACAGGUCAACAUUAUGUGUGGACGAUGCUCAAAUAAAGUAUGCAAAGAUGAACAUGGAUGCAUUUGCAGCGUAUCCUAUGAUGAAAGGAUGUGCAGGACGGUUGUUGAGCUAGCCAUUCCUUGUCCUAAAAGAGGUCCAAGAGUUUUUAAGGGUUUCACUGUGGGCUUCCACCCCCGGUCAGCAGAAGUGGUUUACAAUGGAUUGACUCAACUGGGAUUCGAACAACUUCAUCAUGGGUUUAGCUUUCCAAGUGAGCAGAUUCACGUGUCUUUAUAUCUUAGCGCCAUGUCUUCUCUCGCAGACCUAGUUGGAAAACCUACCUUCAGGGUUAAUCCGAUGAAAGGGCUUGAUGUUAUGCUUACAGGAUCAGGGGCCAAUGGUGCCGUGCCUACUGCCCUGUCUCCAACAGUUCUGAAUGUGAAUUGGAUAUGCGAAAUCAUUCGAAGCAAUCCAUAUGUGGUGAAUGUUUCAAUCCCAGUGGUGGGCUAUGAUCCAAUUGAAUUCACGCUUACCAAAGAAUGUGGUUACACACAAGAAAGAGAGAGUGAUUCUAUGAGAGGGUGGGCAACAUUUGGAAUUAUUUCUUGCAUAUUCAUUGUCUUUUCGAGCCUACUUUGUUGUGGGGGAUUCAUCUACAAAAGCCGUGUGGAGCAUCAGGAUGGCUUACAUGCACUGCCUGGGAUGACUACCGUGUCUGCCUUUCUUGAUGUUGUUGGAAGACCAAGAGGCUACUUGAGAGCAGGUGAUCCUAGUGGAAAUCAUUCAAGCCAAGCAUCGUGGGAGAACACUUCUGUUACCACACCAGCAGCACAGAGAACAAAUGAUGGAAGAUAUGGGACAAUAUGA